UACGAAGGGGCUAGCGUUGCUCGGAAUUACUGGGCGUAAAGCGCACGUAGGCGGAUUGUUAAGUCGGGGGUGAAAUCCUGGAGCUCAACUCCAGAACUGCCUUCGAUACUGGAGAUCUUGAGACCGGAAGAGGUAAGUGGAACUGCGAGUGUAGAGGUGAAAUUCGUAGAUAUUCGCAAGAACACCAGUGGCGAAGGCGGCUUACUGGUCCGGUUCUGACGCUGAGGCGCGAAAGCGUGGG
rnacentral:rRNA from 1 species